rnacentral:pre_miRNA from 1 species
UUACUACUCCCUCCGUUCGGAAUUACUUGUCUCGGAAAUGGAUGUAUCUAGAAAUAAAAUACGUCUAGAUACAUCCAUUUCUGCGAUAAGUAAUUCCGAACGGAGGGAGUAGUAA